GAGUUUUGAUCAUGGCUCAGGAUGAACGCUGGCGGCGUGCUUAACACAUUCAAGUCGAACGGAGUUCAAUUGGGAGCUUGCUCCCGGCUGAACUUAGUGGCGGACGGGUGAGUAAUGCAUGAGCAACCUGCCUUCAGGAGGGGGAUAACAUCGGGAAACCGGUGCUAAUACCGCAUAGAGCAUUUUGCAGGCAUCUGCGAGAUGGGAAAGGAGCAAUCCGCCUGGAGAUGGGCU
rnacentral:rRNA from 1 species